CGCACAUUGCGCCCGCCAGCAUUCUGGCGGGCAUGCCUGUUCGAGCGUCAUUUCAACCCCUCAGGCCCUGGUGCCUGGCGUCGGGGCUCUCCCGCGAGGGAGGCCCCCAGAGACAGUGGCGGACCCGCCGCGGCUCCGAGCGCAGUAGUAAAAUUCUCGCUGAGGAGGCCCGCGGAGGGAUUCCGGCCGUUAAACCAGGUCUGCAAAGACCGACCCAACCAAGGUUGACCUCGGAUCAGGUAGGAAUACCCGCUGAACUUAA
rnacentral:misc_RNA from 1 species